GUGGGGAAUAUUGGACAAUGGGCGCAAGCCUGAUCCAGCCAUGCCGCGUGUGUGAAGAAGGCCUUCGGGUUGUAAAGCACUUUUGUUGGGGAAGAAAAGCUACCGGUUAAUACCCGGGAGUUCUGACGGUACCCAAAGAAUAAGCACCGGCUAACUUCGUGCCAGCAGCCGCGGUAAUACGAAGGGUGCAAGCGUUACUCGGAAUUACUGGGCGUAAAGCGUGCGUAGGUGGUGAGUUAAGUCUGUCGUGAAAGCCCCGGGCUCAACCUGGGAAUGGCGAUGGAUACUGGCUCGCUAGAGUGCGGUAGAGGAGAGUGGAAUUCCCGGUGUAGCAGUGAAAUGCGUAGAGAUCGGGAGGAACAUCAGUUGCGAAGGCGGCUCUCUGGACCAGCACUGACACUGAGGCACGAAAGCGUGGGGAGCAAACAGGAUUAGAAACCCUUGUAGUCC
rnacentral:rRNA from 1 species